GGGUAUGUAUGGAUGAUGGUAUAAUGUAUAUUACGAAUUAAUAUACGAGCUAGAAUACGAGAAUUAUACGUAUAAUAUAUGUUAUAAGACUUUUAGUUAAAUGAAAUGGACUAAUAGGAUUGUGUAACAAUUGAAGAGUCCAAUAAGAAUGAAGGUGGAAGCCCAAAUUUAUUUAAUGCAAGCCCAAUAGGAAUAAACUAAGUUAGUUAACUUAAGCCCAAUGUAAAGAUCCAAUGGGUUAGCCAUGAUCAAUGGAGCAAACCAAGGUUGAUAUGGGUUAUCUUGGUGGGUAAGACCUUUGUGUGAUAGCCAAGUACUUUAAGUAAGGACCAAGUAAGAGAUAAGUGUUGUGCUUAGCAAGUAAUUAAUAGUGAGGAGGUGAUUAAAGGAGGUGGGAUGUCCUAAUGACUCUUAUGCCCUCACUUUGGCUUUCCUAUAAAUAGAAGGCUAGGAUUUUCAUUGUUGCUUGUUAUUUUCAACCAACAACUUCUCUUAUAAAGCAACUUAUUGGUUAGAGAGAAUAAGCACA
rnacentral:lncRNA from 1 species